UAGUCCAAAAUAGAGGAGAGUAACAGCCAUAAGAAAGCAUAAUGUUAUUAGAGCAAUGUGUGAGUAAAGAGACUAAUUAUUAUUUUGUUUGUUUUCCAGCUAUAUUCGUUGCUUUAAUGCAAGCACCUGUUUCAUGAGAUGACCUUGCUUCACUAAUAUCUGUGGUCUGUAUCAAGCUACAGUAUCACUGCUCUCCUAUCAAGUUAUAUAUGAGUUUUAUUGCCUUAAACUCAAAGAGCUGUGGUGGGUUUACCCUGCUGGUCUGCUGAACUCCACCACAACCACUCACUCCCCCUCCUCAAAAGAAAAAAAGGGUAUAAAUGUAGGUAAUUACUAUUUGCCUCCUGAGGUCACCUUGACUGCCUUUUCAUCUUCAUUAUUGCUGAAUUUACUCUAUAUUCCUUGGCUUUUGUCAAUAUUCUACAAAAUAUUUCACAAGUUAAGUUGGUGUUCUUACAGUCCUUCUCAACAACAUGUUAUGUGUAUGUAAUGCUGGCUAAUAUUAGAGUACCAGUAACUAUCACUCAUCACACAACAUAACUCAUCAUAAUACACUACAAGGAACAUUAUUUAAAACAGUGAAUUCUGGAAAUAGAAUAAUGAGGAAAUUGCCUAGUAUCCCAUAUUUAUACCGGUAAUAGAACAUUUUCCAAAACUAGUCAUGAAACACAAGAAUUGUUCUCUUAGCAUUGAUACCUUCUAAAUAGAUAUUAUUAAAAAUAGAUAUUCUUACAACAUCAAAUUAUCCAUUGACCUAGUAAAUAUCAGUCAUUAUAAUAAGGACGAAGUGGCUAUUUUGCUGGCUUUAAAAAUAGUUUGGCAGGAAAAGCCAUUCUGUUACAUAAAUUUGGACUUUGGCAAAUUUUAACUGAAUUGUUCUGUCCAGAUAUAGAAACAAUCAUAUCUAAAAAUGGAUGGGUAUCCAAAACGUUUCAUGUCAUGAAUAGCAAGAUUGUGACUGAGAUGUCUCUCCUCCUUCAUGUUUGAAUUUAUAUUACCUUAGAGACAGCAGUGAGGUAAGAGAAUAGCAUAUGAGACUAUUUAUUCUUAAGGAGGAAUUCAAAGUAUAUAAAUACAGGGCUGAGUUGCCCCGAUAAAUUAGUGUAAACUGAAUGAAGUUACUUAAAUGCUCGCUCUCGAAUUAUUUUUUUUAACAAAAUGUAUCAUGGGAGCAUACUUGUCAACAGGGAGCGUGUUUUUCAAUACUCAGCUCAACCAAUCAGUGAGCAAUGCGGUCUGAAUUCAAGUGCUGACCCUGCACGCAAGUGAUGUUGGUCUAGACCUCCUCAGGUCCCUUCCAACCAGUUAUUCCGUGACUGCAUUAUUCUUCACAGAAAAAAUUUAAAAGGCCUGAUACCACAGGUCCAGUUGUGAAACUGUCACAAUUCUUUGGCUUUAAAAAGCUGUAGGACAGCUGAGUGUAAGGAGCAAAGGGUCCUCUGAUAAAAGCAGUUGUCUUGACUGAGGUCUUAAGGACAGAGAGGCGAGAGCUAGAUUUAGGAUUACUUGUAGAAAGAAACUUCAGAAUAUUAUAAGUGAGUUGUGUGAUACUUAAGCCCCUCAGACUAUUUUUUUUUCAGCAAAUCUACAGCUUGAGAGUACACAGGUACCUAAGAGUGCACAUGGAGCAAAAUGUAGCAAUACUUAUAUAAAAAUAUGUUAUUUUUAUUAACUUUACUCCAUCUUUAUACGGUUUAUACUCUCAGUUUACAUGAUUUUCCGGGGAUUAUACAAAAAAGCUUCUGAAAAGAAAAAAACAACAAAAAAAACAACUUCCUCCUUGACUUCUCUAACAUCUCUAAAUUCUAAAUCUUAACUAAUCUAAGCCCGUCCCUUUAAUGUGAUGAGCGAAUCUCAUGAUUCCAGGAAGAAAAAAAAAAUAUAAGCUCAGACCUUCUUAAAUGUCUUGUCAGUUAGAUAUAUUCCUUUUUGGUGACCCAUUCUAAUUUUGUACAUCACAGUGCUUCUGUGUAACACCGAAGGGUUGAGAUCGUUUCAAGAGGGGAAGCCAAAACACUGUUAUCUUAUUUUAAAAAUAUGUAUCUUGGUAAUAAAUCGUUAUUUCUGAGACCA
rnacentral:lncRNA from 1 species